CCUACGGGAGGCAGCAGUGGGGAAUAUUGCACAAUGGGGGAAACCCUGAUGCAGCGACGCCGCGUGAGUGAAGAAGUAUUUCGGUAUGUAAAGCUCUAUCAGCAGGGAAGAAAAUGACGGUACCUGAUUAAGAAGCCCCGGCUAACUACGUGCCAGCAGCCGCGGUAAUACGUAGGGAGCAAGCGUUAUCCGGAUUUACUGGGUGUAAAGGGAGCGUAGACGGCAGCACAAGUCAGGAGUGAAAUGCCGGGGCUUAACCCCGGAACUGCUUUUGAAACUGGGUAGCUUGAGUGCAGGAGAGGUAAGUGGAAUUCCCAGUGUAGCGGUGAAAUGCGUAGAUAUUAGGAGGAACACCAGUGGCGAAGGCGGCUUACUGGACUGUAACUGACGUUGAGGCUCGAAAGCGUGGGGAGCAAACAGGAUUAGAUACCCCUGUAGUC
rnacentral:rRNA from 1 species